AUUGAACGCUGGCGGCACGCCUAACACAUGCAAGUCGAGCGGCAGCGCGAUAUGUAGCAAUACAUAUUGUCGGCGAGCGGCGGACGGGUGAGGAACACGUAGGAAUCUGCCUAGUAGAGGGGGAUAACCAAGGGAAACUUUGGCCAAUACCGCAUAAUCUCGAGAGAGCAAAGCUGCAGCAAUGUAGCGCUAUUAGAGGAGCCUGCGUCCGAUUAGCUAGUUGGUGAGGUAAUGGCUCACCAAGGCGAUGAUCGGUAACUGGUCUGAGAGGACGACCAGUCACACUGGGACUGAGACACGGCCCAGACUCCUACGGGAUGCAGCAGUGGGGAAUCUUGGACAAUGGGGGCAACCCUGACCCAGCGAUGCCGCGUGAGUGAAGAAGGCCUUCGGGUCGUAAAGCUCUUUAGGCUGGGAAGAAGGGUAGUUGAGGAAAUGCAAUUACUUUGACUGUACCAGCAGAAUAGGCACCGGCAAACUCUGUGCCAGCAGCCGCAGUAAUAC
rnacentral:rRNA from 1 species